CAUUUGCAGCAAUGGAGCUAAAAAGCUAUAAUGCUAUUUUAGCUCUACUGAUAUUGCAAAACCAGCACACAGCAGUGGAGGCAAAGCCAAAAUAUUUGGCUGAUUUGCUACAGUGCACAUCUAUCUAUAGAUGUGCACUGUAGCACUCAUCUAAACAAAAAAAAUAAUUUUUUAUGCGGCAACCAGAUUAAAAUAAUCCCUCUUUCCCCAUUUUUUCAUUCUUUUAUUUCCUUUCUCCUUCACCGUCACUCUCAAUCUCCUUCUCCCUCACUCUCAUCUCCCAAAUCGCUCCUGCCCAUCACCGUCGCUCAUCACCGUCCAAGCCACAGACCAGCCUAGCCCAGCCCACGCCAUCCCUCGCCGUCCCAGACCAGCCCUCGCCAACGCCGUCCGUCGCCGUCCAGCCCAAAUCAGCCCACGCCGUCGCCGUCCUAGACCAGCCCAGCCCACGCCGUCCGUCGCCGCAUCUCCCUCACUCAUCGCACUCCAGCUCAUCUCCCUCACUCAUCACCAUCGCCGUCCGUCGCCGUCGCAAGCUCUCAUCUCACUCAUCAAGCUCUCCACGCCAUCGCCGUCCAAGCCCAGCCCAAUCCGUCGCCGUUGCCGUCCCAGCCGAUCCACUUCAGAAAUUUCUUGUCUGGAUUAUGUGAUUUCUGUUAUUUGUGCGGGAAAGUUUUUAUGUUUUGCUGUUAGUGUAAUUUGUUGUGUUGCACAGAGCCAGAGUUAUGUAUGGAUGGUCUCUGUAUGUGGUGGCGGCGGAAAAAGAGUCGUCGGUGGCGGUGGCGGUGG